CACAGUCGCCGCGGUAAUACGUAGGUGGCAAGCGUUGUCCGGAAUUAUUGGGCGUAAAGGGCUCGCAGGCGGUUUCUUAAGUCUGAUGUGAAAGCCCCCGGCUCAACCGGGGAGGGUCAUUGGAAACUGGGAAACUUGAGUGCAGAAGAGGAGAGUGGAAUUCCACGUGUAGCGGUGAAAUGCGUAGAGAUGUGGAGGAACACCAGUGGCGAAGGCGACUCUCUGGUCUGUAACUGACGCUGAGGAGCGAAAGCGUGGGGAGCGAACAGGAUUAGAUACCCCUGUAGUCCCUGUCUCUUAUACA
rnacentral:rRNA from 1 species